AUUAAUUUAGCGGUAAUGUUUGUAGAAUGGAAAACGUAAACGAAAGUAUUUCCAACAAUAUUUUUCACCUGGAAUCAUCGAUCUUAUAGGAAGGAGAAGUGAGGAGACGCCUUCUAGUAUACAUAUCAUUACCAGUCGUUCCUUUUCUUCCGUAUCGGUGGUUUAUCUCACCACCGAGUCUAGUAAAGUCAUCUCCCUCAGGUGGGGAUCGGCCGGCUACCUGUCCCAGGUAACCGUGCGGUGACACGUGGCGACGGCCGGCCAAUAGAAGAAACUAUCUCUGGGGCGCGGCGGUAGAUUAGUAGCCAUGGCGGCGGCGGUACACCUGGUAGCGGUGUACGUGGCAACGGCCGGACGAGACGGUCCCCAUCUGGGAUCAGACGAAAGAGGAAUAGUAUCAGUAGCUCUGGCAGUGGUAGACACUUUCCGCGGCCAGGUAAGUUUUACUUUUCUAUGCAUCUGCCGUCGAUAUUUAUUGUUUAGUCGAGAUGCGUUCUCGAUCGGGUUCUUCCGCUGGUGGAAAAUUGGGUUAAAGAGUCAAACGAAGUAACCUAUAUCCUCGAUCUGACAUCUAGAUAAAACGGAACCUAAGAGAAGACACUACAAAAACGUCUUUCAUGUUUUUUAGGCCUAUACCUGCAAUCAUUAAAUUCGAGUGACAUCAUACCCUCGAGCUUUGACGUACGACCCGCGUAAGAAAUGGUGCCGACGUAGAUUAGUCGGUUUAUAACUUUCCUCCUAUCAAAUAAUCCGAUAAAAAUUUAGUUAAACAUAAGUGAGCGCUUAAAAUGACAACAAAGUAAGCAAUUUUUUUUUUUCGUGUAGAAUCGUAUCGUGUAUCUAUAUAAGGAAUAAUUUAAAAUAAGAAGUAACAAAAUAAUAAAAAAAUAUAUAUAUGGAAUUUUCGGUAAGCCGAAUAACGAAGUGACAAAACUCACACAUCUUCGGAAAAUUAAUCUGUAUAUCAUGCUAACGAAUGGAAAAUUGGUGUCAGUUCUUCGCGUCAGGUAAAAAUGACACGGGAAACAUAAACUUCAAAACCUUAGAUAUGUUUAUCAAUACCAUAUUUAUUUAGAACUACAUAUACAGUACGUAAGAGAAAAGAUAUAAUAGCGCAGAUAAAUGUCAGUAAGAUUCUACUAUGACUGCCCCGCGUUUUAGCGGUGCAGCUCGCACAUAUUAAAUGACGUUAUUAUAUAACACGCAAUAUAUGAUAAUAUAAAGUAGAUGUUAACAUCAUUCACGUGCAUAUUACUCACACUAACUUCAACCACAUUUAUACGUAUCCAUAGGUCAACCGUAUUCGUGCCCGAUCCCGAUUCGUAGUUGUGUUUCUUCUUUAUUAUACGUUUCCACUCGUAUUUUUGAUGACGUUUAGAUAGGAUUUUGCUUUGACUGCUUCGCGUUUUCGCGUCUGACUCUAUGCCAGUGGUUCCCAAACUUUUCGAGCCUAGCGCCCCCUUGGGUGAAUGUGAUUGUUCUGAGUGCCCUCCGUCAU
rnacentral:lncRNA from 1 species